rnacentral:rRNA from 1 species
GUCGAGCGGAGAUAUAAAAAGGAAGCCCUUCGGGGUGGAAUUUUUACAUCUUAGCGGCGGACGGGUGCGUAACACGUGGGUAACCUGCCCCUAUCACUGGGAUAACACACUGAAAAGUGUGCUAAUACCAGAUAAUAUAAGCUUUUGGCAUCAUUAGCUUAUCAAAGAAUUUCGGAUAGGGAUGGGCCCGCGUCUGAUUAGCUAGUUGGUGAGGUAACGGCUCACCAAGGCAACGAUCAGUAGCCGACCUGAGAGGGUGAUCGGCCACACUGGAACUGAGACACGGUCCAGACUCCUACGGGAGGCAGCAGUGGGGAAUAUUGCACAAUGGGCGAAAGCCUGAUGCAGCAACGCCGCGUGAGCGAUGAAGGCCUUCGGGUCGUAAAGCUCUGUCCUAUGGGAAGAUAAUGACGGUACCAUAGGAGGAAGCCCCGGCUAACUACGUGCCAGCAGCCGCGGUAAUACGUAGGGGGCAAGCGUUAUCCGGAAUUACUGGGCGUAAAGGGUGCGUAGGCGG